rfam:Nematostella vectensis strain CH2 x CH6 NEMVEscaffold_218_Cont19353, whole genome shotgun sequence.
ACAACGGCUCUUGUAGGAGCCACACUUUUGUAAAAGUGAAUGCUC